rnacentral:rRNA from 1 species
UACGGAGGGUGCAAACGUUGCUCGGAAUCAUUGGGCGUAAAGCGUGUGUAGGCGGUUUGUUAAGUCGGGUGUGAAAGCCCUGGGCUCAACCCAGGAAGUGCAUUCGAAACUGGCAAACUUGAGUAUGGGAGAGGGUCGCGGAAUUCCCGGUGUAGAGGUGAAAUUCGUAGAUAUCGGGAGGAACACCAGUGGCGAGGCGGCGACCUGGACCGAUACUGACGCUGAGACACGAAAGCGUGGGGAGCAAACAGG